rnacentral:rRNA from 1 species
UACAGAGGCCUCAAGCGUUGUUCGGAUUCAUUGGGCGUAAAGGGUGCGUAGGCGGCGCGGUAAGUCGGGUGUGAAAUCUCGGAGCUUAACUUCGAAACUGCAUUCGAUACUGCCGUGCUUGAGGACUGGAGAGGAGACUGGAAUUUACGGUGUAGCGGUGAAAUGCGUAGAUAUCGUAAGGAAGACCAGUGGCGAAGGCGGGUCUCUGGACAGUUCCUGACGCUGAGGCACGAAGGCCAGGGGAGCAAACGGG